rnacentral:lncRNA from 1 species
AUUUAGUUGUUAUUUAUCUUGGUGUGGAUUCCUUUGGGUUUAUUCUGUUUAGGUUUUGCUCAGCUUCUUAAAUCUGUAGGUUUAUGCCUCUUAAACCAUAUUUGGGGAGCUUUCAAGACACCCGCCACCACACCUGGCUAAUUUUUUGUAUUUUUAGUAGAGACGGGGUUUCACCGUGUUAGCCAGGAUGGUCUCCAUCUCCUGACCUUGUGAUCAGCCCGCCUCGGCCUCCCAAAGUGUGGGAUUACAGGUGUGAGCCACUGUGUCCGGCCUACCCACUAGACCUCCUCUGACACUUCCCCAGUGGGGAAGGGAAGGGUGGUCUUGUUACUGCCAUGUGGGGCAAAUCCAGGCUAUUCUUGUGUUCUCCUGACACCAUGGGAGUGGAGGCGCUCAUUAGACAGGGGAGUCAUCUGAGAACCUCAUUUAUGCUAUUUAGGAAAGUCGGCUUCUCUCCCUCCUUCCCCUGUACUUAGCAACCAUCUUCCAGCAACCUACCCCAUAAUCAUGAACAGGAGACUACGACAAAUAAAACAGGCAGAGCCGCAGAGCGCCUACCUGCCGCACCUAGUAACCGCAGAGCGCCUACCUGCCGCACCUAGUAACCGCAGAGCGCCUACCUGCCGCACCUAGUAACCGCAGCGCGCCUACCUGCCGCACCUAGUCCGCACCUAGUAACCGCAGCGCGCCUACCUGCCGCACCUAGUAACCGCAGCGCGCCUACCUGCCGCACCUAGUAACCGCAGCGCGCCUACCUGCCGCACCUAGUAACCGCAGCGCGCCUACCUGCCGCACCUAGUAACCGCAGCGCGCCUACCUGCCGCACACCUAGUAACCGCAGCGCGCCUACCUGCCGCACCUACCGCAGCGCGCCUACCUGCCGCACCUCGGAACCGCAGCGCGCCUACCUGCCGCACCUCGGAACCGCAGCGCGCCUACCUGCCGUAGCCAAACAUUAUCUGAAGAAGAUAGCAAAUAAACCUAGAGAAAAGCUGAAGGAAUGUUUGGAUGUUAUUCUAUGUGAUUCUGCAUUGUUUGAAUCUUUGGGGGUUUUUUUGGUUUUCUUUUUGAGACGGUCUUACUCUGUCACCCAGGCUGGAGUGCAGUGACACAAUCUGGGCUCACUACAAGCCAGGCUGGUCUUGAACUCCUGACCUCAAGCGAUCUGCUCGCCUCGGCCUCCUAGAGUGCUGUCAUGACGGCGCUCAGAUUUUAUUUUACUUUUUAAUGUUUCAUGACACCCAUUCUAAUGUUGAUCAUUUCUUCUCAGCCACAGAACAGCCUGGUUCACUGCACAGUUCCCAGGGACUUGGGAUGGGUCCCUUAUUCCAGUGCAGCCAGUCAUGGUAAUGCAGUGCACCAGCCCUCAGGGCUCACCAGCCAACCUCAAGUACUCUAGGAAAUACACCCACCAUGCCAUUCAGCUCCUUGCCACCAACAGGUAAAUGGGUCUUCGAUAGUCACAAGCUUGUCUUUUUUUAUUUUUCAGAAAAUACAGCAACCAACACCCAAUCUCUGAUAAAUGGGAAGUUAUCUGCUUAUUUGCUUUUACCUUGCUUGCUACUUUUUGAAGGUAAGAAAUCAGUAUCAUCUCAGGUAGAGGAAGCUUUCAGAACCACAGAGCUUAGUUACAUUUUCUUUCAAAAGGCCAAAUUCUCCAAAAACGUCCUAUGCGGAUCACUUGAGGCCAGGAGUUCGAGACCAGCCUGGCUAACAUGGUAAAACCCUGUCUCUACUAAAUAAUACAAAAAUUAGCCAGGCGUGGUGGCGCAUGCCUUUAGCCCCAGCUACUAGGGAGGCUGAGGCAGGAGAAUCACUUGAACCCUGGAGACAGACGUUGCAGUGAGCUGAGAUCAUGCCACUGGAAGAUCACGAGGUCAGGAGAUUGAGACCAUCCUGGCUAACACGGUGAAACCCCGUCUCUACUAAAAAUACAAAAAAAAAAAAAAAAAAGCUGGGCAUAGUGGCGUGCGCCUGUAAUCCCAGCUACUGCUCCCAAAGAUGAUCCUGCCAGGUACUAAGCUAGUAAAUGAACACGCUGAGUUUCUCCUUGCAAAUUUAAAUAAGUCUUCUGCUUGCUUUUAUCAUCAAAAAGUCCUAACUCUAUACCAAAAUAUGAGUUUUCUAAUUUGCCAUACCAUGGGCAGAAAGCACUGAUUCAAGAACACAGAUUUCCAAGUAGAGAGGUGCAGGGUAAAUAAACCUCCAUGUAAGCCCUCAGAGACUGUCACAGGGGUUCCUUGCUAGGAUUCCAAGGACCCCAGUUUCAGCAGCUUCACGAACACCCUGAAUUGCACACAGAUGGCGUGUGUGUGCACAUCCUAUAUUUCUUACACCUUUCAGUAGAGAGGGUCCCUAGUCAAAUUCAGCUCAGCAUGAAUGUCAUUGAGCCCAUGCCCCGUACCAAGGCCCAGGCUAGCGAGUGUAAGGAGUACAAAAACAAGUGGGUGUGGUCGCUGCCCUUGGGACUCACAUUCUAGUGGAGAAGUCAAACAGACCAUCAUGUCAGCAGAUCGGUGGGAAAUCUGGUGGGACUGGAGUCUCUGGAGUGGAGACAGGGAGGAAACAGUGAACCAUUUCAACCAUUUUUACAGUGGCAUUAUCUAACAUUCACAGUGUUAUGCAACCAUCACCACCAUCUAUCUAUAUAACUGUUUUAAUCUUGCAAAACUAAAACUCUGUAUCCAUUAAACACCAACUCCCCAGCUCCCCUCCCAGCCCCGGACAACCACCAUUCUACUCUCUGUUUCUGUGACUCUGACCAGUCUAGGUACCUCAUGUGAGUGGAACCAUGCAGCAUUUUUCUUUGUGGCUGGCUUCAUUCACUUAGGAAAUGUCCUCAAGCUUCAUGCAUGUUGUAGCAUGUGAUGUGAUUCCCUUCCUUUUCAAGGCUGACUAUUCCAUUGUGUAGCUAGACCACAGUUGGGUUAUCCACUCAUCUGCUCAUGGGUGCCUGGCUUACUUCCACCUUUUAGCUAUUGUGAAUAAUGCUGCAGUGAACACGUGGGUAGAAAUAUUUCUUCAACACCCUGUUUUAGUUCUUUUGGGUAUAUACUCAGAAACGGAAUUGCUGGAUCAUAUGGUAAUUCUAUCUUUAAUUUUUUUGAAGAAUCACGAUUUUUUUUUUUUUUUUUUUUUGAGACAGACUCUCACUCUAUCACCAGGCUGGAGUGCAGUGGCACGAUCUUGGCUCACUCUGCAAGCUCCGCCUCCUGGGUUCAAGUGAUUCUCCUGCCUCAGCCUCCUGAGUAGCUGGGAUUACAGGCACCCACCACCACGCCUGGCUAAUUUUUGUAUUUUUAGUAGAGAAGGGGUUUCACCAGCCAGAUUUGAAAGAAGAAAAGUUUAAAGGGUGGCAUAGGAUAAUUAACUUAAUGUUUGGCAUAAAGCCCUGCUUUUUUGCCAUGCUGUAUUUUUUUCUCUUGCUUUUGAUCUAGAAUUACUUACCUGUGUGUUUCUCUCUGUCAGGCCCUCAUCGAAGGAGAUCCUGUAAAAGAUAGAAGACUGUGCCCUCCACAGCACUUCUGUAAUAAAAUCAAGAGGGCUAUCUCUUAUAGGUGGCGCUUUUUUUUUUUUUUUCUGUAAAGGAACCAAUAGUAAAUGUUAGGCCCUGCUGGCUUUGAGGUCUCUUGGAACUACUCACCUCUCUGCUGGCAGGAGUCAGAUUUGGCCCACAGGCCAUAGUUGGCCAACCCCUGGUCUAACCCAUUUGAAGGACAGCUUUUAAAAUACCUAGAACAGAACUUGCGAAUGGUCAGGGGCACCUGUGAGAAUCUAAUGAAACCCAGGAUCUACCCCCUACAGAAAUAUUGACAAAAUUUGGAAAAUAUCUUGGGAAGUUCUUGGACUGCUGACAAUCUAUAAGAUAUGGAUAGAGAGAGAGCCACAUCACAGAGGGCUGAGGAAAGAAGAGAGGUGGGAAGGAAGAAUGAAAUGUUUUCUUCCUUAUAUUCUGUUUAAUGAGGUAGUGUGGGGAUUAAGGAAUUUUUUUUGUUGUGGUUGUUGUACAUUUUCAUUUGUUUCCUUUUAUUAUUUUUAUGAAGGGCGAAGGGAAGGAACC